rnacentral:lncRNA from 1 species
CUGCUGGUUCCGCUAGUUGAAACGCUGGAUCCCCCAGUGUAAUCAUCUUCACUGGAACCUCGAGUGCUGCUUAUCGUAUCCGAAGGUACUGGGGAGUACUCUUUUAUGCUGCUGCACCCCGUCUCACUUUCUAUUAUGUGAUCCAAUGCACAAACCACCUGCCCUUUUCCCCACAUUUGUUUUUGUUAUUGUGUGAUCAAUUAUUAGUUUAUUAACCUACAUGACCAAUAGAUGAACCAAAAAAGAUGAACACUUGCCUUUUCCAUGGACAAUCUUUUCUUAGGGUCCUUGCUCAAGCACUUCUCUGCUACUCUCACCAUCCAGAAUAGCUGAUGCACAUCGUGGGUGUCCAAGAUCCUCUGGUCAAUCAAGUCUGGGUAAUUCUUAUCUUUCAGUAGUGGUCUUGCCUGCAUACAAUUGAUUGAAAACCCUAAUUCUUAUUUGGAUUUCUAUGCAUAAUGAGAAUGAUAUAUUAUUAAGCAGAAAAGAAAGCAUCUUUCUUUUGUUGUGUUAGUUGUUAAUUACCCAUCCCACUAGACUUUUCCCACCAAGUUUCUUGUCUGUGGUUUUGAGUCCAGUGAUCAGUUGUAACAGCACUAUCCCAAAUGAGUACACAUCUGUCUUGGUUGAUACUUUCCCAUAUUCUGCAUAUUCUGGUGCCAAGUAUCCCAGUGUUCCGACCACAUUUGUCUCCGUUGACAGUUCUUGAUCUUCUUGCUGUGUUCUUGCCAGGCCAAAAUCCCCUAGCUAGAAACAGUCCAGUCCACCGUGUUAGUUAUAAGACCAUCUCCAUCGUAAAAAUGAUUUGACAUUUCUAAUAAGAACUUUAUCACCACAUCACAAUUUCUAUUGAUAAAAUCUACAAUAUAAUUUACCUUUAAUUUUUUUUGUUUUAUUAAUUUAUCCUUACAAAAUUAAUGCUUUUCUUAGAAACUUAUUCUAUUUUACCUAUGUGGUAUUACUAGUUGAAUUACUAAUUAGGUGUCACCUCACCUUCUACCUCAUUUUAGCAAUUGCUAAAGUUUGAGGAUGGAGAUGCUCUAAGACCAGCUCUCUGCUAGUGUAUCUAUCAACAUUCAUUUCCAUAUUUCAUGCUAACGACAGGACAGACAUACCAUUGCCUCAUAAUCAUGGGUUAUGAGGAUGUUGCUUGGUCUCAUAUCUCUGUGGAUAAUGUUGUUUUCAUGCAAAUACUGUAACCCUUUUGCAGCUCCAAUGGCUAUCUUCAUUCUCAUUUCCCAACUGAGAGGCUUUCGGGUGUGUUCUGCAUUUGUUUCAUAAACAUGAUCAAUACAUCCACAAAAUAGUUUCAAAAUAAAGGACAAGCGCACAUAGUUGAUGAGAUUCUUACUUGAUAGGUGUUGAUCCAGAGAACCAUUGCAGACAUACUCAUACACAAGCAAUCUAUGGCUUCCUUCAGCACACGAACCUAACAACGUCACUAAAUUCUCAUGUCUUACUCUCUUCAGCACCAUAACUUCUGCUUUGAAUUCUUUCUCCCCCUGCAGGCUGGCACUCUUGUGUUGCUUCACAGCAACCUUCAUCCCAUUGAUAUCUCCUUUGUAGACAGAGCCAAACCCUCCUUCUGACAAGAAAUUCUUCACCGAAAAUCCUUCAGUAGCGGAAUGUAGCUCAGAGUACGUGAAGUCUCUCUUCCAUUCUGUCUUUGGCCUCUCAUUGUUGCAGAUUGAGCAAAUGGAGUUCCUAAAGGGCUCCUCCACUUUAGGACUGCUGUCUUCUGUAACUUCUUCCUCUUGGAUUUCACUCGGUGACACUGGAGGCUUAGCAUUAUUUGCUGCUUCUCUUUCAGCAAGGGUGGACUUCUCCUCCUCUUCAGGAUCUGCAGAGACUCUCGUUGGUCCAGUAGUACCAGAACAUGAAGACUCGUAGAAAAGACGAGCUGUAGUUGAUGUUACAGGUGGGGUGGAUGGUUCGUCUAUUGAUGACAUACCAAGAACAGACUUCUUGCGGCUUCGAGAUCGACCUUCUUCUUCUUUUCCUGCAGAGCCAUGGUGCUUGGUCAUUGACAAUAUAAGAUUUGGAAACAGAAUCUUAAUGGGGACAUCAUAUAUGCUAUGUCAACCUUAGCCAUGAAAUUCUAUGUGAUAUUCUCGAAAUCGAAUUUUAUAUGAGUUAGAUGCUUAAACUUGAAAUCCCGUCAAAAGUCUAAGAUCAUCGUGGUUCCACUACUUCGUUGCAUUAGUCAGGCAUUGUUAAUCAAAGAGGUUUUGGCAAGCAGGUGGUGUUCCGGUUUGUUACUGAUUUUACCAUUCUCUGGACUUCCUGGUAUCAUUUCAUCGUACGUAACUUGCCCUGAUCUAGUGUUGUCCUCGCUUCCCUUUUCUGCAGCUUUCGGUUUAGGUGCCAUUUUUGGUUUCGGCUGUCUCAAUUCUUCAAUGGUAUUAUCACGCUUUAUUCUUGAUAUUCCGCAUGAAAGCUUCUCAGUGAAGUAAGCUUGGUCUUUCUUCAUUUGCCUGCGCCAAUUUUGUAUUAUGGUUAAAAAUGAAGAGUGGUUUUGUUGCAGGUCAUGUAGGUUCAUUCUCACCUGUCAAGAAUGAGCCAUGUCGGCUUUAAAGUUUUUGCAGCCUUCAUAGCAAUCACCUUGGGAGUUGGUCCGGCAUGCACCUCCACACGGAACUCAAUCUGAUGGAUGCCAAAUCAAAGCAAAUAAGUCUUGAACAUCAGGAAUUAAAGAUAGAAUCAUAAAAGGAAGGAAGUUGACCUGUUCCAGCUGACAAAGCUUGGAAAUUGUGAUGAUUUCCUCAUUGUUAGA